UGAGACGUGUCAAAUAGAUGGCUUGUUGAUUGUAUCAGUUAUGGAAUGGCGGUUUGCUGUCAAAAGUUAAGCUAUCCUUUCUUCGAAAAUUACCAAUGAAUUCAUAGGAAGAAACGUUAAAGAGUCGUGGCCGUCGUGCAGCCUACCGUCAACUAUUUUGUUCAAAAUCAUUGUAUUCUACUAAAUGUGCAAUCGAAAUGAUACAGGAGUCAUAAUUGUAUUGGACUUGCUUGAUCACCAACCCCAGCAUAGACCAAUCUCUCAUUUCAUCUUCUCGAGAGAAGAUUGGAUAACUGAUUGGUGGUUUCAUGUGAUCUAAACUCCAGGUUUCUAAAUUUGCAUGGCAGACUUAAUGAGAAGUCAUGUCCUUUCAAGAAAGUCAACAAGGUUCCUUGUUUACUAACCUGUUGGCUGCUACCCUUGAAUCUCCCUUUUUACUUUCUUAAGCUGGCCAUCUUUAUUUGAG